AUGUGUGUGUGUGUGUGUGUGUAAACACUAACGAUAGGAACAGAGAGUCACUUACCGUUGGAAAGUUUUUGUGUCUCCUCCUUCAGUAUUUGCGCGAGGAGAUCACUAUAAGGUUUUUUGGAAGAGUACUUCUAGCAUCUUCCAACCGCAUCAGGGUAAAUGGACUUUAGUGUGUGGUGCAGGGUUGGUGUGAUGUGCAGUAUUUUGAUGUGUUCUGGUGGUGUUGUGUAUGGGUGGUUGCCUGUGUUUAUGUAAUCCAUCAACUCUGUAUUUUUGCGUUGAUGGCAGUGAG